AAGACGAAAUUUCACAUAAACGGUUAUGAAUGUUAUGAUAUUAUGGAUUGUAUUUAUACAUAUUUGUAAUUUUUUUUUUUACAUUUAAGUUUUGCCACGCACAAGGCCAAUCGCUAACAUGUUUAGCGCGUAACUCACGGACGUCGUGAUAAGAACAAAAAGCUAUUUAUGGUAACACGCACGUAAGUUUUGGGACACAGCUUCGGAAUAAACACUAGGCAGAGGAGCGAUUUUUACAUCACGUCAAUUCCAUAAUAGGUUCUCAAUGUGGCAUUAUUAAGCAGGUCGUUGGCUCAACAUGACAGAAAAAUAAAAACAACAAAUAGAAGGCCAAGACGACCCAACGGAGCUCUAACUUCUAACCCGUAUAAAUAAUAUACGUCUAAAAUGUUCUAUCAACUCAAAAACCUAAUAUGAAUGAAUUAUGGUAUUUUAUUUUUAUACAAUAGUAAUUGCUUAUACAAUAUACGGCCAUAUUACUUUUUGAUCAGUGACAGUUCUAUGAUAUACAUAUACAUAUAAUAAAUAUAAUACACGGUAAUGCAUCGUUAGUACCUAUUCAUAUGCCCAAAAAUAGACUAAUGCAUAUGAUAACCGUAUGUGAAUUUGGGUAGCCUGGCGGAUGUCUUAUAUAAUGAGAAUUUGCACAUGACACGGUUAAGAAAAUAAAAAUUGUGACCAUAUGUGGACUGAUCAGUUUGGCGCCAAAUAAGGCAGCAAACUUCAACAUCAUCCUUGUAGCCGCACGGGAGUCCGACAAAUCUCAACAUUACUUUCACUGUAUUCAACUAUAAACAUUAAUUCUCUGCAUAAUAUAUAGAAUAUAUCGACAUUUUAUUCUCUUUGGACAAAAUCAUUCUACAUAAUGAAUAUUAAUUAUACACACAAGUGACAUGAGUAUGUACAAGACAUCGACAAGAUAGAUUCGAAUAUCUCUAUAUAUUAUGAAAAAAUAAUACGAGUCACGAACGACAAGUAAAGAUAUUAGUCAAAAACAAACGGCCUAACCGAAUUUGGUUUGAUAUUUUAUGUUCUAUUAUUUGAUUCGAAAAUCGGCGUGUAAGGUCGUCGGAACAGUAAGAAAAUUAUUAUAAUUAAGCAUUCAACGGAAACCGCCUAAAUUGGAAUAGACUACUGACGAUACACUGCAGACAUUGACGAUUAUAACUGCAUGAUACUUAAGUUAGACAUGAAUAUUUUACCAUAUUAGAGUUAAAACCAACCAUUCAUGGGUGUUUAACUUCAGUAUGUACACAACAAUGACGAGUUUCGCUAUUAUUCCAAGCAAAAUAAGGACAGAUUAUGUAUUGUUCGAGCCAAUAAAGAUAAUAGCUUUCACCGCGUUUGCCACCAAGUAAUGAUUCGUACAUAGUGUACGGUGUGCUGCAGCUGUUUAAGGCAAAUAUUAAUAUUCAAUGGACAGUGCAAAAAUGCAUGACGUACAAGUAUACAAGAUAAACGUACGACGUGUCGCAUGUAUCAAUCAUGUACAGCAGAAGUAUAUAAAUAAAGUAUAUGCCAAGUAAUAACAUACAUCUAUCAAUUAGAAAGAGUACAAAUCACUUUAGGGUAUAAUACUAAUGUAAUAACUUUGUGAUCUGACUAAAGGAAACAUAAAGACAUAAAUAAUAGAACAAAUAUGGGUAGAAAUAUUGCAAAUCCAUAACUAAGGUCAACUUCAUUCUGGUUUUCAUAGUAUACCAGCUUUCACGUAAACCCUUACAGAUUAAAAACGGAAAACCUUAUGCGAUAUAUGUGCAUUAUUAGAGUCGAGUUUUGCACGCGUCCGUCGACAUAAUGAAUAAAACAACAGUAAACGUGAGAUCUAUUAAUGCAGGCAAAAAGCACGGUGUAUUACAUGAAUUACUUUUCAGAUAUCCAUCUAAGAGCCUAAUAUAGAAAUGGGAGUGGUUUAGAGUUAAAUCAACAUUACGCCUUCAUUUCAAACCUACAGAAAUGCUAAAAGUACAAAAUCUACAUGUAUAAAAUUAAUUUGCAACAACUUAAAUAUGUAGUCGCUUGUUUUUAUUUUAUAUCAAUUUAAAUUUUGAAAUGUU